rnacentral:rRNA from 1 species
GACGAACGCUGGCGGCGUGCUUAACACAUGCAAGUCGAACGAAGAGCGAUGGAAGCUUGCUUCUAUCAAUCUUAGUGGCGAACGGGUGAGUAACGCGUAAUCAACCUGCCCUUCAGAGGGGGACAACAGUUGGAAACGACUGCUAAUACCGCAUACGAUCUAAUCUCGGCAUCGAGGAUAGAUGAAAGGUGGCCUCUACAUGUAAGCUAUCACUGAAGGAGGGGAUUGCGUCUGAUUAGCUAGUUGGAGGGGUAACGGCCCACCAAGGCGAUGAUCAGUGGCCGGUCUGAGAGGAUGAACGGCCACAUUGGGACUGAGACACGGCCCAGACUCCUACGGGAGGGAGCAGUGGGGAAUCUUCCGCAAUGGACGAAAGUCUGACGGAGCAACGCCGCGUGAGUGAUGACGGCCUUCGGGUUGUAAAGCUCUGUUAAUCGGGACGAAAGGCCUUCUUGCGAAUAGUGAGAAGGAUUGACGGUACCGGAAUAGAAAGCCACGGCUAACUACGUGCCAGCCGCCGCCGUAA